ensembl:snoRNA
UUGGCCCUGAAUCAAGGCCAGUUCUUUGCUGAAACUGUUGGUUUCAAGCAGUAGCCUAAAGAAAUAUCUUUCUAUGGUCUGUUGAUCAUUUCAGAAUUUUGGAAAUGAAAUGGUCAGUUCAUUAGAAAGAAACAUCU